GGCUCAGGAUGAACGCUAGCUACAGGCUUAACACAUGCAAGUUGAGGGGCAGCAUGGUCUUAGCUUGCUAAGGCCGAUGGCGACCGGCGCACGGGUGAGUAACACGUAUCCAACCUGCCGUCUACUCUUGGACAGCCUUCUGAAAGGAAGAUUAAUACAAGAUGGCAUCAUGAGUCCGCAUGUUCACAUGAUUAAAGGUAUUCCGGUAGACGAUGGGGAUGCGUUCCAUUAGGUUGUUGGCGGGGUAACGGCCCACCAAGCCUUCGAUGGAUAGGGGUUCUGAGAGGAAGGUCCCCCACAUUGGAACUGAGACACGGUCCAAACUCCUACGGGAGGCAGCAGUGAGGAAUAUUGGUCAAUGGGCGAGAGCCUGAACCAGCCAAGUAGCGUGAAGGAUGAAGGUCCUACGGAUUGUAAACUUCUUUUAUACGGGAAUAAAGUUUCCUACGUGUAGGAUUUUGUAUGUACCGUAUGAAUAAGCAUCGGCUAACUCCGUG
rnacentral:rRNA from 1 species